GAUGAACGCUGGCGGCGUGCCUAAUACAUGCAAGUCGAGCGAACAGACGAGGCGCUUGCUCCUCUGCCGUUAGCGGCGGACGGGUGAGUAACACGUGGAUAACCUACCUAUAAGACUGGGAUAACUUCGGGAAACCGGAGCUAAUACCGGAUAAUAUAUUGAACCGCAUGGUUCAAUAGUGCUAGCCGGUUUUGACGUCACUUAUAGAUGGAUCCAGGCCGCAUUAGCUAGUUGGUAAGGUAACGGCUUACCAAGGCAACGAUGGGUAGCCGACCUGAGAGGGUGAUCGGUCACACUGGAACUGAGACACGGUCCAGACUCCUACGGGAGGCAGCAGUAGGGAAUCUUCCGCAAUGGGCGAAAGCCUGACGGAGCAACGCCGCGUGAGUGAAGAAGGUCUUCGGAUCGUAAAACUCUGUUAUUAGGGAAGAACAAAUGUGUAAGAAACUAUGCACGUCUUGACGGUACCUAAUCAGAAAGCCACGGCUAACUACGUG
rnacentral:rRNA from 1 species